UACAGAGGUCUCAAGCGUUGUUCGGAUUCAUUGGGCGUAAAGGGUGCGUAGGUGGCGCGCUAAGUCAGGUGUGAAAUUUCGGAGCUUAACUCCGAAACUGCAUUUGAUACUGGCGUGCUUGAGGACUGGAGAGGAGACUGGAAUUCAUGGUGGAGCGGUGAAAUGCGUUGAUAUCUACAGGAACUCCGGUGGCGAAAGCGGCGUGCUGGACCUUUUCUGACGCUGAGGCGCGAAAGCUAGGGGAGCAAACGGG
rnacentral:rRNA from 1 species